ensembl:lncRNA
CUCAUUGAAUUGCUAAAUCGCAAUUAAUUUUCAUGACCUUAAGUGUUUUUUGUGAUUUUUCCUUUUGUAUUAUUAAUUAUUUAAAACCCAGGACAUAAUUAGGAGAAAUAAUUUGUAACAAGUGUCACCUGGCAGUUUGUUGCUCUCUGCCAGGUGAUUGGCUGAAGAGCUGUGAAAAGGUAGUGGGUGUGUGGGGUGAAGUCAGCGCUCUUCUGUGGAAAAAACCAGAGGCAAUUAAUUCACUCAGGUGCGAGUGGGUAUACUGUCGUGUGACCACGAAUUUUAAUAGAAGAAUUGAUCAAGCCCUAGAUCGACUGCGCGCAGGGAAACUGAUCAAUAUUCUGUGCUGUCUCUGCUGUCCUUUUUUUGUUCUUUUGAUUGAUUUGUAAUUUUGUUUUGGUUAGUCCGUCCAGCCGUAGAGGCGGUUAUUGAUUGAGAGUAAGUUUUGUAAGGGCGGACUAACCUCUCUUUUGUUUGUUUUUUUUAAUUGUUUGUGCCACUUCCCUUUAUCUCUCAGAUCACAGGCCAUACAUAGCACUGAUUCCCAGCUGCGCUGAGACCCGAAUUGUUUGCAGUGUGUGCCACGAUUGCAGUGUCACUAAGCGGGGUGUGACGGGUUGUAGUGUUAUUUCGCACAGUUUGUGUGGUAAGUCUCAUGUGCAGCUGGGAUAUCAGCAGGAUGUGUUGUAAGUCCUGUCUGGAAACGACUGGGAAUUUGUAUGUUUAACUUAUGUAAUAAAUAAAUGAUCAAUUAUUUCUUUGCCCCGUUUACUCAUCCCUUGUCCUCGGUUACAAAUUUAUUUAUAAUUAAAUGAAAAAUGCUUUAUUAUUGUGGCGGGCCGUGGUCUGCGAUGCUGCUGCAGGUGAGAUGGACUCACCUUCACUGCAUCUACAAUCAUGCCUCACCGGCUUAAAACCUGUGCGCUGCAUGUGCUGUUGUUGUUUU